rnacentral:lncRNA from 1 species
CCGCCAGGUCCUCACGGGCCUCGGAGAACUCCCCCUCCUCCAUGCCCUCACCGACAUACCAGUGCACAAAGGCGCGCUUGGCAUACAUGAGGUCGAACUUGCGGUCGAUGCGGGAGAACACCUCAGCGACGCUGGUGGAGUUGGAGAUCAUGCACACAGCGCGCUGCACCUUGGCGAGGUCACCACCCGGCACCACUGUCGGUGCCUGGUAGUUGAUGCCGCACUUGAACCCUGUUGGGCACCAGUCCACAAACUGGAUCGUGCGCUUCGUCUUGAUGGUGGCCACCGCCGCGUUCACAUCCUUGGGCACCACAUCGCCACGGU